rnacentral:rRNA from 1 species
UACAGAGGUCUCAACCGUUGUUCGGAUUCAUUGGGCGUAAAGGGUGCGUAGGCGGUCGCGCAAGUCGGAUGUGAAAUCUCAGGGCUCAACCCUGAAACUGCAUUCGAUACUGCGUGGCUAGAGUGCUGGAGAGGAGACUGGAAUUCCUGGUGUAGCGGUGGAAUGCGCAGAUAUCAGGAGGAACACCGAUGGCGAAGGCAGGUCUCUGGGCCGCAACUGACGCUGAGGAGCGAAAGCAUGGGGAGCGAACAGG